GACGAACGCUGGCGGUGUGCUUAACACAUGCAAGUCGAACGGUAAGGCCCUUUCGGGGGUACACGAGUGGCGAACGGGUGAGUAACACGUGAGUAACCUGCCCUCAUCUCUGGGAUAACAGUCGGAAACGGUUGCUAAUACUGGAUAUGAGCUUGCAAGGCAUCUUGUGGGUUGGAAAGAUUUUUUUUGGUUGGGGAUGGACUCGCGGCCUAUCAGCUUGUUGGGGAGGUAGUGGCUCACCAAGGCUUCGACGGGUAGCCGGCCUGAGAGGGCGACCGGCCACAUUGGGACUGAGAUACGGCCCAAACUCCUACGGGAGGCAGCAGUGGGGAAUAUUGCACAAUGGACGGAAGUCUGAUGCAGCAACGCCGCGUGCGGGAUGACGGCCUUCGGGUUGUAAACCGCUUUCAAUUGUGACGAAGCUUUUUUGUGACGGUAGCAGUAGAAGAAGCACCGGCUAACUACGUG
rnacentral:rRNA from 1 species